AAGGUGCGUCGUGGGCUGGAGGCCGAACCUGGCCCACGCGGGACCCAGCUCGGUCGGUCCUUUUCUGGACCGCCGGGACGGCCGGCUCGUCCGGUAUCGGGAUCAGGCCGGACCGGCUCGUACAAGCCGAAUCGCGCAAAGCGAGACGAGACGGUUGAUGCCGCCGAGGAGAAGCAAGAAGCCCUGCUCCUCUGUUUUGUCUCUGCUGCGGCGGGGUCCGUGGAGCCCAGAGUGAGGUGUUCCCUUGUGACCGCGAGAGGACGGCCAUGCUUGUCCGCAUGGCUGUGGGGGUCAUGACCAGUGCCAGCAAACAGUGGUUGUCUCUGUUCCGUCUCAAGCUCGGAGGGGAAGCACGGAGAGAAAAUAAAGAUAAGUGUCGCCUAACAUGUCUGCUGUGUAUCAGAUGUCAUGUGCCGGUGAAUACGUCACCGAAGACAAAAGCUUGGAUGCGAUAAUAUUAAUGCUAUUUUAUGUUGUGCAGAAGAAGAAGAAGCAAGUAGGCAGAACAACAAGUACGGAGAGGUUGAUGCUUCCACAUCCAUCGCAGUUUGUUCCUUGAUGGACAUGUUUGGUUCUCACACAAGCAGAGAAGAAAUAGUAAACGCAUCUAAUAGAAAUGGGAGAAGACUUCCUCGGUUGCAAGAAAGAAUUUUUAGCAAUGAGAAUUGCAACUCCAAGAUUCACUUAUAAAAUGUGAGAAAUGAAAGUACUGUUGGAUCAACUUAUGCUUAUGAAGACAAGAAAUUGUAAGUUGAUUGGGUUCCUUGGAUUUUGUUAUGGUGAAUGAGUGGCUCAGAAGACACCACAAGGCAUAGUUUCAGUCCAUCCUUAUCCUGUGCAAUUCAGUUCCCAAAUUUGUGUGCUGUUGCAGUAUGAACCUUCUACUAGUUAAAGAAGCUUGGCAAUCUACACCCAUAUGUGAACCCUUCCCUACCAUUUUCUUAUGUUCAAGACAACUGUGAAAACAAAUUCUUCCUUUUUA